GGAAAUUGUCUGGGAGCAAUUUGAUCCCAGAGAUCCCAGAGAGGCAAGUGUUGAUGAUCCAACCCUACCAGAAGCAGAGUCUGAGAGGGCUUUUUAACCCACAUUUACUCUGCUUUGCAGAAAAAUAGCUGUAAAAACAGUAAUUUGUCUCUUAAAAACUAUGAAUUCAAUUGAUACAGUGAUACGACUGCUAACCACAUGCUCAAAGGUGUGUGCUCCUCUGCUGUUCUCACCUCCUCUUACCAGGCACUGCAGUCUGGUUUCCUCUGCCACAGGAUGAUGGCAUUAGGACCAGUCAUGUGAUGGGACUUGAGGUUCAGCAGAGCAGUGUUUCUUAACAGGGCUACUGCUUUGUUCUUUGCAGAGCCUUCUGCUACAGACUAGUGGGGAUUUGGAGGGAAAGUCUGAAUAAUGCUUAGUCACAAGGUGAUGUCUCGGUCCUGCAGCAAAGAUGUUUGGCAAGUAAAGAGAGCUGCUGUGUGUGACACAUUUGGACAUCAGGCUCUGAGAAUAAAGAGGGACCCGCUAAUUGAUCUUCUGGAAGAAUAAAAUAUACUUUCUGCUUUAAACAACUGAAUCCUUACUAAAGAGGAAUUGAAUGUGAAAAUCUGCAUAUGCCUCACAUGCUGCUCUUCAUGGCCAGAAGGACAGUGAAACUCACAAAGCUUAAAAAGAGAAGGGGUGUUCCAGGUACGACAGUUUCUGACAAUCACACUUGUGCUGGUCACUUCAAGAACACUUCAUGCUGAGCUUUCAAUAGUAGCUAAUUCAGUGCUGAAUCAGUCACUAAAGCCUUUGGAGUAGUUGUGCCUUUGGAACGGAAGAGUUUGAGGAAAGAAGAAUCCUGAAAAAUGAAAUAAAGGAGGAGGGAAUUCUCA
rnacentral:lncRNA from 1 species